rnacentral:tRNA from 1 species
GCCGUUGUGGCCAAGCCCGGUUAAGGCGACAGAUUCGUAAUCUGUAGAUCGAGGGUCCGAAUCCCUCCAACGGCU